rnacentral:lncRNA from 1 species
AUUAUUUUCUUCAUCACUUGACACUUUCCAUAAUGGAGUGGAGAACUUUGGUUAUAAUAUGGAUAUUUAUCUGUAAGUCAUUCAACCUCACAACAAUAAGUAUUUAUUUUUCUGUAUUUAUUAGAAAAAAAAGUCUUUAAAUAGACAAAUAUGAUGUGAGAGAUACUGAGGAUAGAGUAGUGAGUAGAGGAAGAGCUCUGAUGAUAUUCUUAAAUUGUAGCGCCCUCUAUCAUUGGUUUCCUAUAUCCUUUUUGAACUGUGUCCAUGUUAAGUGAGAUUGUAAAUACUAUAUUGCCACCUUGUGGCUGAUUCUCAUCAAAUGAGGUCUACAGCUUGUGCAGGGGCGAAAAAUAUUGACUUUAAUAGAACUGUUAUAUUCAUAGUUAAGACAUAUCUUUUUUGUUUUGUUUUAAUAUUAUUAUUAUUAUUUUUAGAUGGUAAAAAAUUUUAUUGGCAUGAAUUUGCAUAAUGGUUUGACAAAUCAAAAAUGAAAAAUACAUUGGAAUGUUUAGGUAAACGUGCAGCAGAAACAUCUACAACAACAGAGACUUCCACAAUCACAACAACUGCAGCUGAAACAUCGGUAACAACAGAGGCUUUAAAUGAAGUGAAAAUACAGCUGGUGCUCCGCUCUAAAGAUUCAUUUACAGAUGAACUCAAAAAUUCACAAUCUCCUGCUUUCAAAGAAAGGGCCCAACUUGUUCAACAUUCACUUGAAGCCCUUUUCCAGAAGAUUCCUUCCUUCCUAAGAGUCGCUGUGCUAUAUUUCAAGUAAAUACUCUAUUUUUCAGUGCUGAUUAUUUUAAUUAUAGAGUGCCCCUGUUUAUGUUUGAAACUGUGAGCAAUAAAAUAAACAUGUGAUUAAUCCAUUUAUUGGUGAGGUGGGGAUAUGAAGAAAUAAUUGCAAUAUGACAGAAUUUCAAAAAAAACAACAGAGACUUCCACAAUCACAAUGACAGCUCCUGAAAAAUCCACCACUACUGCAGUAGAAACAUCUACAACAACAGAGACUUCCACAAUCACAACAACUGCACCAGAAACAUCCACUACUAGUGCAGCAGCAGUAACAUCUAUAACAACAGAGACCUCCACAAUCACAACGACUGCACUGGAAACAUCUACCACUAAUGCGGCAGAAACAUCUACAACCACUGAGACUUCCACAAUCACAACGACUGACCGAACAUCCACCACCAGUCGACAGCAGAAACUAUACUACUACGACAAGAGACUUUCCACAGUCACAAUGACUGCACCAGAAACAUCUACCACAACAGAGACCUCCACAAUCACAACAACUGCUCCUGAAACAUCUACAACAACAGAGACAUCCACAAUCACAACAACUGCUCCUGAAACAUCUACAACAACAGAAACUACCACAAUCACAACUUCUGCUGAAACAUCAACAUCAGCAACAACUUUUGCCGGAACUACUACUGCAGGACCUUCCACAACAGCACCACAAACAACAUCUACAGCAGUAACUUCUGUGAUUCCCACUUCAAUCACUACUGAAAGCACCACUGUCAGUACAGCAACAACAUCUACAUCACCAACAGCUACAACAACACUUCCUUCAACAGUGACAUCAUCUCCUGUUGGAACUACUACUGCAGGACCUUCCACAACUGCACCACAAACAACAUCUACAGCAGUACCUUCUGUGAUUCCCACUUCAAUCACUACUGAAAGCACCACUGUCAGUACAGCCACAAUAUCCACAACGCCAACAGCUACAACAAAAGGGCCCUCAGCUACAACUACAAAAUCUGCACCUGUGUAUCUAACAGAUCUGGUGUUCCGCUCUUUAGACAACUUUAAUGUAGAACUCAGUGACCCAAACUCUCAGACCUUCAAGAACAGGGCUCAGCUUGUCAUAUCUCAGCUUGAACCAAUCUACAAAGCAAAAUAUUUUUCCUUUAUUGGAGUGAAUGUCUUGCUUUUCAGGUAAAUAAGGAAUUUAUGUGCAUUAUGGGUUUAAACAAAUAACCAUGCAAUAAACUUAAACAGAGCAAAAUAUCUUUCCUUUAUCAGCGUGGAUGUCUUAAGUUUCCGGUAAAUAUGGAAUUUUUGUGAAGUUUUAAAUAUAUAUAUAUAUAUAUAUAUACAGUAAUGUACUCAUACACCUGGAGAGAAUCUAGUGAAAAAAACAAACAGUAUAUGUAUGUAUGUAUGUAUUUAAACACACACACACACACACACACACACACACACACACACACACACAUAUAUAUAUAUAUAUAUAUAUAUAUAUAUACACACACACACACACACACACACACACACACACACACACACCAACCACAACAACAACAAACCACACCCUAUCCUGCAACAUGUUCUGAAAGUCUUACAACAACUGCGCCUAGCACUUUGGCUCAAUAGAUAUUGUGGAAUUUCUAACCUUAGCACUAGUCACUAGUUAAUUAUAUGGAAAUAAGAAUAACACUAAAUAUACGGCACAUUUGGACUUUAAUGAAACAAAAAAGAGAGACUUUGCUGAUCUAAUUUGUUCAUCUUUCUCUUACAGUUAUAGCUACGACUGUUGCUGCAACUACAGCUUCAAGUGGACUGAAGAUUGAAUCCAGCCUGCUCCAAGCAACAUGGCUCAUUAUUAUGGCAAAAAUAUUACAGUUUUUCCUAUAGAUCUCUUAACAAUGAAUGUGAGUUGCGAGAAAUGAAAGGCAUGUGGCAGGCACACAAUUAUAUUAUCAAAUUAUAUUAUUUUUGUAUGUGUGUUUGUGUAUUGUGGUAUUAAGUAUUGUAGCACACUCUUGAAAUAUGGCAAUGGCAAAAUAAGCAUAAGCCUGAAAUUGCAUUGAUUCUAAGGAGCACAAUUUGUAAUUAGAAAAAAUAAUAUAUGUAUAUUUAUUUAUCAGCAGGUUGUAGUAAUCAAUCAAAUAAGGAAAAUUCCUAUUUCCUCAGUAUUUUAAAUGUAAUGCUUUUGUUCACUUGUCUGCAGGUUAAAGACUAUUUAUACUGUAAUUCUCUUUUGUCUAGUAUGUGCUAAUAUCGCAAGAACUUAUUUAAUCUUAUUAUAAUCAAAUAAACAUAUUUAUUAAGUUCACAUUGUCCAAAAUUGUAUGAUUGUUUGUAAUUAUUACAUUUAUUUAAAAUGUACAAGGGUCUUAUAUUAAUUGAAUUAAAUAAAGUUUUAAUGCAACAUUAACUUGCGUAAUUCUUUCAUUGCAAAUUCUUUAUAGCCUAAUUAUCAAAACUGGCAAUUUAAAAAAAUAAACAUAAAUUCAGGAUAGUAUAUAUCCAGAGUUGGUUAUGGCUAGUAAAAACAAUGAAAGUGUCUUUAAACACACACACACAAAUCUGUAAUGACCACCUAACAAGCUGCUAUGAAAAUUGGCAUUGCAGUGGUUUUCAUCUUCCACUUCAGGUAUGUAAUGCUCGCAAACAAUGCAAAGCAUUAAAAUAUUUUUAUUGUGCUAGUCACAAAACAAGUGUGUUGUACACUCACUAAUUAAAUUUA